UACAGAGGUCUCAAGCGUUGUUCGGAUUCAUUGGGCGUAAAGGGUGCGUAGGCGGCGCGGUAAGUCGGGUGUGAAAUCUCGGAGCUUAACUCCGAAACUGCAUUCGAUACUGCCGUGCUUGAGGACUGGAGAGGAAACUGGAAUUUACGGUGUAGCGGUGAAAUGCGUAGAUAUCGUAAGGAAGACCAGUGGCGAAGGCGGGUCUCUGGACAGUUCCUGACGCUGAGGCACGAAGGUCAGGGGAGCAAGCGGG
rnacentral:rRNA from 1 species